rnacentral:rRNA from 1 species
UACAGAGGGGGCAAGCGUUGUUCGGAAUUACUGGGCGUAAAGGGCGCGUAGGCGGCCUUCUAAGUCGAACGUGAAAUCCCCGGGCUCAACCCGGGAACUGCGUCCGAUACUGGAAGGCUUGAAUCCGGGAGAGGGAUGCGGAAUUCCAGGUGUAGCGGUGAAAUGCGUAGAUAUCUGGGGGAACACCGGUGGCGAAGGCGGCAUCCUGGACCAACAUUGACGCUGAGGAGCGAAAGCCAGGGGAGCAAACGGG